rnacentral:rRNA from 1 species
UACGUAGGGUGCGAGCGUUGCCCGGAUUUAUUGGGCGUAAAGGGCGCGUAGGCGGUGAGAUGCGUCCGUUGUGAAAUCGCCCGGCUCAACUGGGCGGGGUCAGCGGAUACGGUCUCACUCGAGCAAGCUAGGGGGCAAUGGAAUUCCCGGUGUAGUGGUGGAAUGCGUAGAUAUCAGGAGGAACACCGGUGGCGAAGGCGGGUCUCUGGGCAGUAACUGACGCUGAGGAGCGAAAGCGUGGGGAGCGAACAGG